AAAAGCGCGGGAAUUUCAUUGCACUGUCAAUCAGUUGACAGUGCAGCUACGUCUACGUCUGUUCGUUCCUUUCUGUGUCUGUGUUCCUUAGGUUUUGUUGCU
rnacentral:lncRNA from 1 species